UCGGUGGGAGGCGCUGUAUUUAAUUGUUGGAGUCAAUGAUCUUGAGGUCCAACCGUGACAACAUCUACAUACCUGCAGCAGCCGUCCUACUGACUUGUACAUUAAUAGCCGACAAAUUGAACUGUGUCAUCUUGGAAGAGUGUGUCAACAGAAUUCUAUCCAACCGCCAGUCGGUGACAUUGCCAGAAUUAAAACUGCAUUGGGCCACUCGCAGGAACCUCCUUAUUUAUGGACCAUCGGUGGGAGGCGCUGUAUUUAAUUGUUGGAGUCAAUGAUCUUGAGGUCCAACCGUGACAACAUCUACAUACCUGCAGCAGCCGUCCUACUGACUUGUACAUUAAUAGCCGACAAAUUGAACUGUGUCAUCUUGGAAGAGUGUGUCAACAGAAUUCUAUCCAACCGCCAGUCGGUGACAUUGCCAGAAUUAAAACUGCAUUGGGCCACUCGCAGGAACCUCCUUAUUUAUGGACCAUCGGUGGGAGGCGCUGUAUUUAAUUGUUGGAGUCAAUGAUCUUGAGGUCCAACCGUGACAACAUCUACAUACCUGCAGCAGCCGUCCUACUGACUUGUACAUUAAUAGCCGACAAAUUGAACUGUGUCAUCUUGGAAGAGUGUGUCAACAGAAUUCUAUCCAACCGCCAGUCGGUGACAUUGCC